rnacentral:rRNA from 1 species
CAGAGCUUGCUCUGUGGAUCAGUGGCGAACGGGUGAGUAACACGUGAGCAACCUGCCCCUGACUCUGGGAUAAGCGCUGGAAACGGCGUCUAAUACCGGAUAUGAGCUGCGAUCGCAUGGUCAGCAGUUGGAAAGAUUUUUCGGUCUGGGAUGGGCUCACGGCCUAUCAGCUUGUUGGUGAGGUAAUGGCUCACCAAGGCGUCGACGGGUAGCCGGCCUGAGAGGGUGACCGGCCACACUGGGACUGAGACACGGCCCAGACUCCUACGGGAGGCAGCAGUGGGGAAUAUUGCACAAUGGGCGAAAGCCUGAUGCAGCAACGCCGCGUGAGGGAUGACGGCCUUCGGGUUGUAAACCUCUUUUAGCAGGGAAGAAGCGAAAGUGACGGUACCUGCAGAAAAAGCGCCGGCUAACUACGUGCCAGCAGCCGCGGUAAUACGUAGGGCGCAAGCGUUAUCCGGAAUUAUUGGGCGUAAAGAGCUCGUAGGCGGUUUGUCGCGUCUGCUGUGAAAUCCCGAGGCUCAACCUCGGGUCUGCAGUGGGUACGGGCAGACUAGAGUGCGGUAGGGGAGAUUGGAAUUCCUGGUGUAGCGGUGGAAUGCGCAGAUAUCAGGAGGAACACCGAUGGCGAAGGCAGAUCUCUGGGCCGUUACUGACGCUGAGGAGCGAAAGGGUGGGGAGCAAACAGGCUUAGAUACCCUGGUAGUCCACCCCGUAAACGUUGGGAACUAGUUGUGGGGUCCAUUCCACGGAUUCCGUGACGCAGCUAACGCAUUAAGUUCCCCGCCUGGGGAGUACGG